rnacentral:rRNA from 1 species
AACGAACGCUGGCGGCAUGCCUAACACAUGCAAGUCGAACGAAGUCUUCGGACUUAGUGGCGCACGGGUGCGGAACGCGUGGGAAUCUGCCCUUGGGUACGGAAUAACUCAGAGAAAUUUGUGCUAAUACCGUAUAAUGUCGUAAGACCAAAGAUUUAUCGCCCAAGGAUGAGCCCGCGUAAGAUUAGCUAGUUGGUAGGGUAAAGCCUACCAAGGCGACGAUCUUUAGCUGGUCUGAGAGGAUGAUCAGCCACACUGGGACUGAGACACGGCCCAGACUCCUACGGGAGGCAGCAGUGGGGAAUAUUGGACAAUGGGCGAAAGCCUGAUCCAGCAAUGCCGCGUGAGUGAUGAAGGCCCUAGGGUUGUAAAGCUCUUUUACCCGGGAUGAUAAUGACAGUACCGGGAGAAUAAGCUCCGGCUAACUCCGUG